UGAAGUGGUUGGGUUGGGACAUAGUGAAAGAAAAUGAAAUUUAUGUUUCCUAAUUCCAGUGGACCUUGAAAAACUUGGUGUAUUUAAUUGGCCCCAUUGAUUUUAUCUUCUCACAACUUCUCUCUCUAUUCCCACUUCUCUUCUGUGUUCCUUAGAAGAAUUAAGAUGGCUACCUUGACUGUACCCCCAGUUCCUCCUUCCCCCAGAGAUGAUGCCAUGCAGCUCUACCGUGCUUUUAAGGGAUUUGGAUGUGAUACUAGUGCUGUUAUCAAUAUUCUUGCUCAUCGAGAUGCUACACAGCGUGCCUACAUCCAACAAGAAUACAGAUCAAUGUAUUCUGAGGAACUUUCCAAACGCUUAGCUUCAGAGCUUAGUGGAAAGUUAGAGACUGCAGUUCUGCUCUGGUUGCAUGACCCUGCAGGACGUGAUGCAACAAUCAUUAGGAAGUCUCUAACAGCCGACAACAGAAGCAUUGAAGGUGCUACUGAAGUUAUAUGUUCACACACUCCAUCACAGCUACAAUAUUUAAAACAGAUCUACCAUUCUAUGUUUGGUGUUUAUCUUGAGCAUGAUAUUCAAACAAACACGAGCCCCGGCGAUCAUCAAAAGCUCUUGCUUGCAUAUAUAAGCACACCUCGUCAUGAAGGCCCCGAGGUUAAUAGAGAAAUUGCUCAGAAGGAUGCAAAGGCUCUUUACAAAGCAGGGGAGAAGAAACUGGGAACUGAUGAAAAGACUUUUAUCCACAUAUUCAGUGAACGGAGUGCGGCACAUUUGGCUGCCGUCAGUUCUUAUUACCAUGACAUGUAUGGCCAUUCACUGAAGAAGGCAGUAAAGAAUGAAACAUCUGGGGCCUUUGAACAUGCACUUUUGACAAUAAUCCAAUGUGCUGUUAAUCCAGGAAAGUAUUUUGCAAAGGUGUUGCGUAAGGCGAUGAAAGGUUUGGGGACUGAUGAUUCCACACUCAUAAGGGUCAUUGUGACAAGGACUGAGGUUGAUAUGCAGUAUAUCAAAGCUGCAUAUUUAAAGAAACACAAGAAGACUCUGAACGAUGAAGUACACUCAGAAACAUCCGGUCACUACAGGACUUUUCUUCUCUCACUUUUGGGCCCUAAUCACUAACCAAGAUGUUCAAUUAUGUUUCAUGUGGAAUAAGUUCACCCUCUGAUGUUUGACUGUUUAUAGAGCUUUGUGAUCGAUCUAGCCGACCUCACCUGGUAGAAUAAGGCUUUUGUUGAUGUUGUUGUACUAGUGUUUUGUGAGUAUUAAUUUGUCAGCCUGAUGCACAGAUGAAGAUUUGUUGUGUAUUUAAGUAUGCUAAACUAUUUUAUUUUUUUUGUUUCAACAAAUCAAGCAUUGACAAGCAAAUAGAGGUCAGAAGAGCUACUAUUUUCCAAUCAACCCUACAUAGAUGAUUGAGAUUAGUUUUACUUAAAAUUAAGCUUGAUUGUCUAUGUAAGAUUGAGGUGUAAGCAUUAGUUAUUUUAACAUCUUACUUAAUACAUUUUUAUAAUAAUUAUUAGA